rnacentral:sRNA from 1 species
AACCGAAUUAUUAAUUUGAUUUGUUACAGGAUAAUAUUUAUCUUUGACACUAACAUUGGUGUCUUGAAAGGCUUAGGAGGAAGAAGUAAAUGCAAAACGGUAAAGUAAAAUGGUUUAACAAUGAAAAAGGUUUUGGUUUUAUCGAAGUUGAAGGCGGCGACGAUGUAUUCGUACACUUCAGCGCUAUCACAGGCGACGGCUUCAAAUCAUUAGAAGAAGGUCAAGAAGUUUCUUUCGAAAUCGUUGAAGGAAACCGUGGACCACAAGCAGCUAACGUAGUAAAACUAUAAUCCUAAAUGAUCACGACCAAUCAAAGGCUGACAAGAAAUUGUCAGCCUUUUUA